rnacentral:rRNA from 1 species
AGUGAACGCUGGCGGUAGGCCUAACACAUGCAAGUCGAACGGCAGCACAGUAAGAGCUUGCUCUUACGGGUGGCGAGUGGCGGACGGGUGAGGAAUACAUCGGAAUCUACUUUUUCGUGGGGAUAACGUAGGGAAACUUACGCUAAUACCGCAUACGACCUACGGGUGAAAGCAGGGGAUCUUCGGACCUUGCGCGAUUGAAUGAGCCGAUGUCGGAUUAGCUAGUUGGCGGGGUAAAGGCCCACCAAGGCGACGAUCCGUAGCUGGUCUGAGAGGAUGAUCAGCCACACUGGAACUGAGACACGGUCCAGACUCCUACGGGAGGCAGCAGUGGGGAAUAUUGGACAAUGGGCGCAAGCCUGAUCCAGCCAUACCGCGUGGGCGAAGAAGGCCUUCGGGUUGUAAAGCCCUUUUGUUGGGAAAGAAAAGCAGCAGGUUAAUACCCCGCUGUUCUGACGGUACCCAAAGAAUAAGCACCGGCUAACUUCGUG